UGCAUACUGCUUUGAACAUCGACAUCUUGAACGCACAUUGCGGCCAUGGGCUAGCUCAUGGCCACGCCUGUCCGAGGGUCGGCUUAUAAACUAUCACGACGCCCAAAAAGUCGUGGCUUGGGUCUUGCCAGCUGACGUGAUUUCCCUAUUGGUGCAAACUAACGGGGUGUCAGAUCUAUGGCGUUUCCCUAAUAAUUCCAGUUACAACUCCUUUUGGCUGAAGGCCAUAUUGGAGGGUGACUGUGGAGUCGUGGCUCAAUGGUAAUGUUUGCGCGCGCUCUGCAUUGUCACCACUGUAUCUGUUAAACGUGAAAUGCUUUCUGCAUUUUACCUGACCUCGGAUCAGACGUGAAUACCCGCUGAACUUAAGCAUAUCACUAAGCGGAGGAAAAGAAACUAACAAGGAUUCCCUCAGUAACGGCGAGUGAACAGGGAAAAGCCCAGCACCGAAGCCUGUGGCCAUUUGGUCAUUAGGCAAUGUGGUGUUUAGGUCGUUCCACAGAAGUUCUGCUCCAUCCUAAGUCCAUCAAUGAGUACGGUAGUACGGACAUGGCCCAUUGAGGGUGAAAGGCCCGUGGGGGUGGAGACAUCGAAAGGCCAGAACUUCUCUGGGUAGACCUUGGAGUCGGGUUGUUUGUGAAUGCAGCCCAAAGUGGGUGGUAAACUCCAUCCAAGGCUAAAUACUUGCAC
rnacentral:rRNA from 1 species